CGGUCAACGGAUUAGGUUGCUUAGUGGCGGACGGGUGAGUAACGCGUGAGGAACCUGCCUUUCAGAGGGGGACAACAGUUGGAAACGACUGCUAAUACCGCAUAACACAUAGAUGUCGCAUGGCAUUUGUGUCAAAGAUUUAUCGCUGAAAGAUGGCCUCGCGUCUGAUUAGCUAGUUGGUGAGGUAACGGCUCACCAAGGCGACGAUCAGUAGCCGGACUGAGAGGUUGGCCGGCCACAUUGGGACUGAGAUACGGCCCAGACUCCUACGGGAGGCAGCAGUGGGGAAUAUUGGGCAAUGGGCGCAAGCCUGACCCAGCAACGCCGCGUGAAGGAAGAAGGCUUUCGGGUUGUAAACUUCUUUUGACAGGGAAGAGUAGAAGACGGUACCUGUCGAAUAAGCCACGGCUAACUACGUGCCAGCAGCCGCGGUAAUACGUAGGUGGCAAGCGUUGUCCGGAUUUACUGGGUGUAAAGGGCGUGUAGCCGGGUUGACAAGUCAGAUGUGAAAUCCUGCGGCUUAACCGCAGAACUGCAUUUGAAACUGUUGAUCUUGAGUACUGGAGAGGCAGACGGAAUUCCUAGUGUAGCGGUGAAAUGCGUAGAUAUUAGGAGGAACACCAGUGGCGAAGGCGGUCUGCUGGACAGCAACUGACGGUGAGGCGCGAAAGCGUGGGGAGCAA
rnacentral:rRNA from 1 species